CAGUCGCCGCGGUAAUACGAAGGGGGCUAGCGUCGUUCGGAUUAACUGGGCGUAAAGCGCACGUAGGCGGAUUCUUAAGUCAGAGGUGAAAUCCCAAGGCUCAACCUUGGAACUGCCUUUGAUACUGGGGAUCUCGAGUCCGGGAGAGGUGAGUGGAACUGCGAGUGUAGAGGUGAAAUUCGUAGAUAUUCGCAAGAACACCAGUGGCGAAGGCGGCUCACUGGCCCGGUACUGACGCUGAGGUGCGAAAGCGUGGGGAGCAAACAGGAUUAGAUACCCCUGUAGUCCCUGUCUCUUAUAA
rnacentral:rRNA from 1 species